UUGGCCAGGGACACGCAUGCGCACUAAGUGACCCUCCAUUUUGAAAAUGGAGGGGAAAGCCGUUACUCCUUGUUGGUUCGGCAUAAAUAAGGCGUCGUAUAUCGCUUCUCGCGAAACAUGGCCCCCACCAUUGUCUACUCAUCAACCCAGGAGAGGCUGAGAGUCAAAGGGAAUGUAGUGUAAGCUCAAAAUGCGCGGGGAUUGGUAGUUAGCGACCGCAGCAAGUUUUGUCGGAACAGAUCGCCCCCCUCCCCUCCACCAUUUUUAGACGGUCACAGUGGUCUUUCGUACACCAACAGUGGAGACUUCCUUCAGAAGUGCAGCACAGGUUGUGAGAAGGAUGGCUGGGAACAAAGCAAGCAACUGUCAGAGGCUCUGUUGCUGAAGUACUGCUACAAGAAUGGUUCAUUACAAGGACUCCAAAUCCACACCAAGAAGUCCAACAUGCGGGCACUGAGGGAGAAGCUUACACUGAGGCCAUGACAGCAGUGGUCUCAGAUGUACAUGUAUAUUGGAAUAGGGAGUUCUUUUUAUUACACGCACAAGCAGUUCCAUAGCAUACAAUCUGGUGCACCAUACAUGUAGGUGUUCAAAUAACAUUGACUAUCAUAAUUCCACCAGAUGCCAUAAUACCGCCACCUCAAAAAAACGUUAGUAUAUGUAGGUCUUCCCAAAAUUGUCUUGAACACCGAAUGUUAUAUAUCCUACAUGUAAUAAAAUUUACAAUUCAGAUAUUUAGGUGUUGAAGAUAAUCUUCAGAAGGCCUCUAUGACAAUGUUUUAUGAGGUGGUGGUAUAAUGGCACCUGGUGGAAUUAUGCGAAUGUAUGUUACUAGUAAGUUUAUGCAGCUACAAGUUGAUUUUUGCAUUUGACAUAUAUGUUUAGAAUGUAUAGAUUGACAUUAAUGUACAUGUAACAUACAGAUAUCAUCUGUUUUUAAAUCAAAUAAUGAUAAAGCAUUACUUGAAUAAACACGUAGCAGAUAGUAACUGUAAAUCCAGAAAUGUUCGGGGUUUAACGUGAACUAAAAAUUGCUUUGAACAACCGCAUGCGCGCAUACUAGUACCUUCUUGACCAAGACCCGGAUACAUAUGUGACUGUUACGCAACCACAAACUCAUAGCGAUUACCUUCCUACUGUGAACUUAGAUGCAUUUACAGUACAUGGCACUGAUCAUGUUGACAAAGUGUAAAACAGCAUGGGCCCCACUAAAUGUUGACCUACAUAUUUCUAAGUUUUAGAUGAUAAAUCAUUGAUUGGAUGAUAUGUAGUAGUUACAUGAUACUGCCUAUUGAAGGGUGAAACAUUGCAGGCCACACUGAAUGUUGCACUACAAGUCUUAUAUGUCAUUGACAUUGCAGGUCAGUUUUCCUUGUGAUGCUACUGUUUCUUUGCACUUCUCAAGCUUUCAUUAUACAAUCAUACUUUCAUAGGUGACAUGAUAUUAUCAUUGACAACAAAGUCAGGAUUUUGCACAGAACAUGCUACUACAGUUUGUACUUGUAUUUACUGUAUAUAAUAUAAUUAUAAAGACUAUUCUUGUAUUUAUAAUUUACCAAGACAAAUAUGUUUAUAUUGUGUGGUUUAUGUGUGUGUUGUACAGAGUAGGUGGUAGCUGAUAAAACUAUACAUUUUAUUUGCAGUGUAUACUAGUAUCCUUCAGAAAAUGUAACUAAACUGUUGCUAUGUUUAUCUAUUAAAUUUUGCUGUAUUUUAUCAAAAACAUAUCCUUCUGAUUCAUAGUUGUGAAUAAAUGUGGGUAAUUUAGGAUGUCA